UUAAAUUGAAGAGUUUGAUCAUGGCUCAGAUUGAACGCUGGCGGCAGGCCUAACACAUGCAAGUCGAACGGUAGCAGGAAGAAGCUUGCUUCUUUGCUGACGAGUGGCGGACGGGUGAGUAAUGUCUGGGAAACUGCCUGAUGGAGGGGGAUAACUACUGGAAACGGUAGCUAAUACCGCAUAACGUCGCAAGACCAAAGAGGGGGACCUUCGGGCCUCUUGCCAUCGGAUGUGCCCAGAUGGGAUUAGCUAGUAGGUGGGGUAACGGCUCACCUAGGCGACGAUCCCUAGCUGGUCUGAGAGGAUGACCAGCCACACUGGAACUGAGACACGGUCCAGACUCCUACG
rnacentral:rRNA from 1 species